CCUACGGGAGGCAGCAGUGAGGAAUAUUGGUCAAUGGGCGGGAGCCUGAACCAGCCAAGUCGCGUGAAGGACGAAGGUGCCAAGCAUUGUAAACUUCUUUUGUCAAGGGACAAAAUCAGGCUCGAGAGCCUGACCGAGGGUACUUGAAGAAAAAGCAUCGGCUAACUCCGUGCCAGCAGCCGCGGUAAUACGGAGGAUGCGAGCGUUAUCCGGAUUUAUUGGGUUUAAAGGGAGCGUAGGUGGAUUGUUAAGUCAGUUGUGAAAGUUUGCGGCUCAACCGUAAAAUUGCAGUUGAAACUGGCAGUCUUGAGUACAGUAGAGGUGGGCGGAAUUCGUGGUGUAGCGGUGAAAUGCUUAGAUAUCACGAAGAACUCCGAUUGCGAAGGCAGCUCACUGGACUGCAACUGACACUGAUGCUCGAAAGUGUGGGUAUCAAACAGGAUUAGAUACCCCUGUAGUC
rnacentral:rRNA from 1 species